rnacentral:rRNA from 1 species
UACGUAGGCAGCGAGCGUUGUUCGGAGUUACUGGGCGUAAAGGGUGUGUAGGCGGUUGUUUAAGUUUGGUGUGAAAUCCCCUGGCUCAACUGGGGAACUGCGCUGGAAACUGGCAGACUCGAGUACCGGAGAGGAGAGUGGAAUUCCUGGUGUAGCGGUGAAAUGCGUAGAUAUCAGGAGGAACACCGGUGGCGAAGGCGGCUCUCUGGACGGAUACUGACGCUGAGGCGCGAAAGCGUGGGGAUCAAACAGG